GCGCGGCGCCGGCAGGAACGCGGGUGUGUGCCGCGCCAAGCGUCUCUCCAGGCUGCGGGCAGGGAGGGAGAGCGCACCGCGCGACCGGCCGCCACAGUCUGACAGGGGCGCACGGGAGGCCGCGCGGGGAGGGCCGGGGGCGGGCCGAGCCGGCCGAGGCGGGCCCGACGGCCAAGCGGCGGGGCUGCGGCCUGACUGGCGCCGCGUCAUUCGCGUCAACCGGCGACGCUGUGGCAGGCCCCGCCCCUCCGCUGACGGCCGCCGCGCGGGGCGGGGCCUGCCGCCGCCGCCGCCGCCGCCGCCUGAGGGAAGAGGAAGGAGGCCGCGGCUUCGCGUCCCGCCUCUCGCCUGGCUGGCAGUGGGAGGCCUGAACGCGGUUCCCAUGUCCUCCCCGGCGGCCUCUCGAAUCUCCCAGGAAUCCUAAUGUCACCCGAGGAUGCUGGGAGGACCGCUGAGCCGACCUCUCCAUUGGGCUAAAGGCCUGAAUUUUCAAACCCUGGGGUCACAGGGCCGGGAUCAUCGACUUUGGUAACUCCUGGAAACCUGUUGCAGAGCCCUUUGAGAAGCCUGGUUUUUGGUACCUGAAGGGCGCUAGCGUGACAAGGCCCCUAAACGGGGGUUACAGAUGUGGGACUGACUAGCUAGGCUGGCUCUUGCUCUUCUGGCUUUCCCUGAGGCUCGGAACCAGGAACGAGGUUCCAGAUAGCUGAAUUCAACGUUUUCUGUUGUGAGGACUGGCAGUGCACAAGAAGGUCCCCGGCCCCACCCGUAAGCAGCAUAAGGAAAUGUUGAAAAGACUGCCCGGGUCAAUAAACCUGGACGUGGCAAAUUUCAAAGAAAGUAAUUCAAACCCAGGUGGGGUCCUGGCUUAUAUCUAUUGGAUUUGGCUGCCAUUUGGCAGCUGCUCGUUGGACAGGGAGAGACGAGGAGGUGACUCAGAGGCUGGAGGACAGCAGACUGCACAAACCAUGAUAAUGGCCAGCAAGGAUGGAGGGAGCGUAUGAGAUAUGCGGGGCAGUGUGCUACGUCUCAGCCAACUCUAGGAGUCUUCUACCAUGUGAGGACUCAGUGUUCCCCUCGCUGGAGAAUGCAGCAAUGAGGCACCAUCUUGGAACCAGAGACUAAAUAUGCUGGCAGCUUAAUCCUGG